rnacentral:rRNA from 1 species
CAAUAGCGUAUAUUAAAGUUGUUGCAGUUAAAAAGCUCGUAGUUGGAUUUGUGGCGUACGGUGUGUUCCGGGCACUUGUUGUCUGAGUAACCUGCUGUUGCCAUCCUUGGGUGGAACCUGUGUGGCAUUAGGUUGUCGUGCAGGGGAUGCCCAUCAUUUACUGUGAAAAAAUUAGAGUGUUCAAAGCAGGCUUAUGCCGUUGAAUAUAUUAGCAUGGAAUAAUGAGAUAGGACUUUUUUGCUAUUUGUUGGUUUGCGCAAAGAGGUAAUGAUUAAUAGGGACAGUUGGGGGUAUUCGUAUUCCAUUGUCAGAGGUGAAAUUCUUGGAUUUUUGGAAGACGAACUACUGCGAAAGCAUUUACCAAGGAUGUUUUCAUUAA